rnacentral:rRNA from 1 species
GAUGAACGCUGGCGGCGUGCCUAAUACAUGCAAGUCGAGCGAACAGAUGAUGAGCUUGCUCCUCUGACGUUAGCGGCGGACGGGUGAGUAACACGUGGAUAACCUACCUAUAAGACUGGGAUAACUUCGGGAAACCGGAGCUACUACCGGAUAAUAUAUUGAACCGCAUGGUUCAAUAGUUAAAGACGGUUUUGCUGUCACUUAUAGAUGGAUCCGCGCCGCAUUAGCUAGUUGGUAAGGUAACGGCUUACCAAGGCAACGAUGCGUAGCCGACCUGAGAGGGUGAUCGGCCACACUGGAACUGAGACACGGUCCAGACUCCUACGGGAGGCAGCAGUAGGGAAUCUUCCGCAAUGGGCGAAAGCCUGACGGAGCAACGCCGCGUGAGUGAUGAAGGUCUUCGGAUCGUAAAACUCUGUUAUUAGGGAAGAACAAAUGUGUAAGUAACUAUGCACGUCUUGACGGUACCUAAUCAGAAAGCCACGGCUAACUACGUG